GAUGAACGCUAGCGGCAGGCUUAAUACAUGCAAGUCGUGGGGCAGCAGGUUUGUAGCAAUACAGAUGCUGGCGACCGGCAAACGGGUGCGGAACACGUACAGAACCUUCCUUGAGCGGGGAAUAGCCCAGAGAAAUUUGGAUUAAUACCCCAUAGUAUAAUGAAGUGGCAUCACUUUAUUAUUAAAGAUUUAUCACUCGAAGAUGGCUGUGCGGCUGAUUAGGUAGUUGGCGGGGUAAAUGCCACCAAGCCUGCGAUCAGUAACUGGUGUGAGAGCACGACCAGUCACACGGGCACUGAGACACGGGCCCGACUCCUACGGGAGGCAGCAGUAAGGAAUAUUGGGUCAAUGGAGGCAACUCUGAACCAGCCAUGCCGCGUGGAGGAUGAAGGUCCUCUGGAUUGUAAACUUCUUUUAUAUGGGACGAAAAAGGCUUUCUAAGUCGUCUGACGGUACCAUAUGAAUAAGCACCGGCUAACUCCGUGCCAGCAGCCGACGG
rnacentral:rRNA from 1 species